CAUCAGUUCAUUGAUGCAUCAUCACAGGGUGAAUGAGGACUACACGGGGCAUGUCUGUCCUCUCUUGGCGGGGUCACAUGAAAAGAACACACAAAAGGAAUAAGAAGGUUCUCAAGAGCAAGAAGGAAGCUGGACUAGACGUUUUCACAUCAACAUGUUUUUGUACAUUUUUAGAUUUUUGGUAUUACAUCGCUUUCUGGCCUGACCGCUCCCUAUUCCUCCCGUUAUAUCAAACACUGGACUGCCAAACAGCAGAGGGCGCCCGCGAGUGAGUCCUCAAUGAAUUAAACUGGCGUCGGGCUGCAGGAGGCGGGCUUAACUGCUAGAGCGUGAUGAUUGACGGGCGAGUGGAGCAGCUUAUUGGCUGUUCGCGCUCACUGACGUCAUGGACAUACAUAUGGG